rnacentral:rRNA from 1 species
GAUGAACGCUGGCGGCGUGCCUAAUACAUGCAAGUCGAGCGAACAGACGAGGAGCUUGCUCCUCUGACGUUAGCGGCGGACGGGUGAGUAACACGUGGAUAACCUACCUAUAAGACUGGGAUAACUUCGGGAAACCGGAGCUAAUACCGUAUAAUAUAUUGAACCGUAUGGUUCAAUAGUGAAAGACGGUUUUGCUGUCACUUAUCGAUGGAUCCGCGCCGCAUUAGCUAGUUGGUAAGGUAACGGCUUACCACGGCAACGAUGCGUAGCCGACCUGAGAGGGUGAUCGGCCACACUGGAACUGAGACACGGUCCAGACUACUACGGGAGGCAGCAGUAGGGAAUCUUCCGCAAUGGGCGAAAGCAUGACGGAGCAACGCCGCGUGAGUGAUGAAGGUCUUCGGAUCGUAAAAAUCUGUUAUUAGGGAAGAACAAAUGUGUAAGGAACUAUGCACGGAUUGACGGUACCGAAUCAGAAAGCCACGGCUAACUACGUG